AUUUAUAUCGCUAAAAUGAUCUUAUUCCAAAGGUCCACUCACUUCAGAUGAGAUCAAGCGCUGAACUCAUUUAUUUAUACAAAAAAUUCAGCUUUCGCACUUCCUCAAGGAAUACAAUGCGCUCAGUUUAAAUAAGCCUCUUCCAACAGAAGCAACCUUCGUUCUUUGUGCCCAUUAUUGGAUGCCAAGGGACUCUUAAACAUCGGCGUUCGUCUUCAGAACUCAGACUUGGAAUAUGAAGCAAAGCAUCCGUUAUUGUAGCCUAAACGCUACUCAGUCACCGCAGAAAUAAUUACACAUUAUCAUCUAAAAUUUCUUCAUGCCGGUUUGCAAUUUUUCCUAGCAACGCUCCGUAAGCGAUACUGGCCUUUUGGAGGCCUCAAGUCUGUAUCGAAUAUCAUCAACAAAUGCGUGCGCUGCUUUCGCAUGCGACCUAAACUUCUGGACCAAAUCAUGGCCCUAUUACAAAGUGAGUGUGUGCAUCAAAUUUUGCGGUCCAUUUUAAAUCAGAAGUCAGGAAUCGCUCGCCAACGAAAUGCGACAUCUCAAUAUGAUUUGCAACGGUCGGCAGCAACGUGCUGCUGAAGGAGGACAAUGCACCAGGUGGCCACCUGGUCAAGUCGACAGCGCAAUUUCUGUGGAUGACGGCAUCGGAGAGUAACAGUCAUUCGUGCAGAAAAUGGUCUGGUCAAAAGAGCCAUUUCCAAAAUCGCCAUCCUGCCAAUCGAGCCGACCUCGGUUGAAAGUUUGAAUCCUUCAACGGGGGAGCAAUUUCGCAGCAAACCUAAAAUAUAUUAUUACUUCCAAAAAUCCCGACAUUGAAGUCACAUAGAAUAAUUUUAAGGUAACACUAUUGUUCCAAUAGUAGUUAUCGAUAUAAUUUUUAUUGGUACGGAAGUAAAGUACAUCAAUACUGCAGUCUGAAGGCUCUUAUUUUUUUGAUUUAAAUUUGAAAUUCAAGGGCCGAACUGGGGUGCAAAAUACUAGCUCCUCAAAAUAAACUCAGAAAAUUAUCAUAGAACUCCUUAGGUGUGCGGUUCAACAGAUCUGGCAGCUUUUGGAUGCAAUCGCUAGACUUUGGUACUUUCACCAAACAUGGAAGAAGCCAAUUAUAUUGAUGAUUACUAAGCCAGGAUAAGACAAAACGCAGCCAUCGUUGUACAGACCAACAGACCUGCUUAUUUGUUUUUUCCAUGAUAUUUGAAAAAGUUCUCCUGCUGCGCAUCUGCCCAUACAUCCAAACUAGCAACAUUGUACCAUACCAUAAUACCAAUUCGGUUUUCGAGAAAAGGACUGAUUAAGCAGGUCAACCGCAUCACGUCAGAGAUUCAUACGGCAUUUGACGGAAAUAUUGUACGGCACGAUUCCUGGAAUUCCUAGACUGCCUUAUGUACAAAAUAACAAAGCUGCUUUCACAAAACACAAAUCUCUAAAAUAGUCUUUGCGAUGAGAGGCAACCUCAAAUGGUCGCAUAAUAAAAGCUGGAGUGCCCCAAGGCAGCGUUCUCGGACCUCCAUGUCUUGUACACCGAGGAUAUACCUACAAGUAACCAGGUAACAACCUCAACGUUUGUUGAUGACACCGCGAUUCUUAGUCGCUCCAGAUGCCCAGUAAAGGCAACUGCCCAAUUAGCCUGCCAUCUAUUUACUGUGGAGAGAUGGUUUUAGUUGAGUCUCAACAAACAAAGCUGUUCUCUUUUGGUUUUAAGCAAUGCACGCGUCUCACAAGGUAACGAUGUAGUUUACCUGGCCGUCCAUUUAGACAGACAGCUCACCUGGCGCAAGCACAUAGAAGCCAAGAAGAAGUAUUUUACAAUAAAAGAAAGUAAUCUCCACUGGCUAAUAAGCGUUCGCUCUUCCCUAAUCUUGGACUAUAAUGUCCUCAUGUACAACUCCGUGCUGAAAUUUAUCUGGACCUAUGGCUCCGACCAACGUCGACAUUACCCAGCAAGCACACUUGUGAAUCCUAAGAACCAUUACUCUGGCAUGGUAUCUCCGUAAGGAGAAUAUUAAACUCGUUAAAAAGGGAAAACCAAAAAGCAAAGCUCGCUUCCUAUACAAAAAGCUGAAAAUGCCGUUCCACCUUGAUAAACCGUAUGGGUACGGAUUACCAGAGUAGCUUUCCGGAUUGUUGGUAGGUAGUUUAGGAAAAUUUGGCAAAGAGAUUGGCCAUUGCGUGAUCAUUAUUUGAAGAUAGCAAGGAUGGGUGUGCGGACGGUCUAGACUUACUGUUUACGAAGCUGUAUAACUGUUUAGAGUCUUGAGAAAAACGUAUAAAAUACAUUUGUAACAGUGCGAUAUCACAGGAGUCCGGAUACAAAAUGUGUUUGCUCCAGCUCUUGUAGUCUUAUAGUAAAUCAUUACCAGGAUUAAUCACUCAAAACUAGGUACUCUCGAGGUACACUUGUUUUGAAAUCUUACCAUUCGAGACAUGGUGUGCCGACAUUAGACACAUUUAUUUCUCAUUCAAUAAUUCAGAGGCGAUUGGGAAAGAGAAAUGUGGAGACUUUGAAUGGGAUGCGACUAUAAAGGAAUUCAAAAUAUUUUGAUGAAGAAACUUCCUUUUAACACAUUAGAAGAGAAGGAACUAAGUUCGUGAGGAUAGGAAAACUGAUCUGACGAUGCGAUCGUUAUUCUUUUUUAAAAGGCAGCAACGAGGGGCCGCGGGUAAAUUUAACCGUUCGACUAAGAAGCACCGUUCAAGAGACUGGCAGCUGUAAUACUUGGAACCGAUACAAGACACCCGAUACUCAACCUCUACUAUUAUGCUAAUAUAAAAUAUAUUUUGUUCUUACCGAAAAUAUUUCCGGUGUUAGGAAUAUAAAAUAGAGAAUUGGUUUUAUACUUUUUUUAAAUCACACGUUUGUAACGAUUUUUCGGUAAUUUUGAUCAAACGUGAAAAAAAAUUAAAUUAGAAUAGAACAAAUUAAUGGGAUAAGGAAAGAUCAUGUUAUUCUUAACCAAGCCUCAGGAUUGGUUGCAAAAAAAUUUUAGUUCGAACUAUACACCGCCUUAUAAAGGAGAUGGGCUUAAUGCCAAGGACACUUGCGAAAAAGUCACUUCUAAAUAGUCAAAUUAAGAAAGCUCGCUUAAAUUGGUCUAAAGAAAAAUCAAAUUGUGUUGAAUCUGAGUGGUCACGAAACAUUUUGUUGGAUGAGACUGAUGGUAAAAAUAUGGGGAUGCAUAUCUAAAUAUACAACUGAAUCACUAAUAAUGAUUAAAGGUAUGGUACAUACAAAAAAGUGGCCAGUUGUUGUGCCCAGUAUGAAAUCAAUUGCUGAGAGGGAAAAAGAUUCCAUCUGGUCUUGGCAGCUGAACAGCUCUGGCUUGAAGAAUGUAGGGACACAGCAGCUACGCAACAUGACACCCGCUUCAGCAGAUUGAUGCGGUGGCGACUGCGCAGUCCUACGCUUGUAUUAAUACCUGAAACCACGAAUUUCCUGCUGUGGGCAUGCUAAGAGCCACUCAGGAGUAUUUAUACCUUGCCGUGCCUUGCUUGACUCUGGUUUUCAGCUCAACUUUAUCAGUGCUCGUCUUGCUAAGCAACUGCAACUCAAAAUUCAUCAUGUAGCCGUCUCCAUAUCUGGUAUAGACGAAGCAACCCUAUUUUCUAACAUGUCCGCUGACAUUUCAGCACAGUCACGUGACAGAUUCAGCACAAAAUUUUUUGCACAUCAUUCGUACGAUGACGGAUUCAACCUUACUUUGGAUAAGAUAUCUCAGAAUAGAAUAUCCCCAAAAACAUCGCGCUGGCGGAUCCAACGUUUUUCAAAUCCUAAAGAAUAGAUUUGUUACUUGCCGGACAAUUUUUCGAUCUCAUUUGCAUCGGCCAAAUUCGAAUAGCGGAUAACCUACCAAAGCUCUAAAAGAUCAAGCUCGGAUCAAGCUCAAAAUGAAAAGAUAAGGAAGUACAGUAGCGUAUGGAACUAAAACUGCUUCGUUUCUAGCAAUUCGAGCAAUGAAACAGCUAACCUACGAUGAAGAGCUUACCUUUCUAUUAGCUGCACAUAGAUUUGUCGAGCAUUCUACAUAGACGAUUUAAUCUGAGGAGGGGACUCUAUCGAAGAAGGCAUUCGAAUCCGCCAGCAAGUAAAACUGCUGCUGAUAUAGGAAAACUUUCCAAUCAGGAAAUGAUGCUCGAACGAUCCUGAUGCCUUGAAAGGAGAAAGAUAAUCCGAUUGUGAGAAGGUUUGGCAUAAUGCCCUAGUUCUGAUUGGCUGCUCUUCAAUUUUUUCGGAAGUACCAGUCACAAGGCUCAGCGUAUUAUCGAUGAAAGCUAGAUUCUACGAUCCUCUAGGAUUGAUCGCGCCCAUCAUUACCAGGUUGAAGGGAAUAUCGGAAAUCCUGGAGCGCACGAAGAGCAUGACCUGGCAUUAUCUGGCCUCCCAGCUGAAGCCUACGUACAUUUUAUCGCGUGGAAGCACUCCUCUGGAACUUUUGGACACACAGCUGUGGCACAAUAGACUCUCAUUCAUACGGUCCAAUAGCUCGAAUUGUGUGUGGCAACUUGUUAAUUCUACAAGUCAUUUGCUAAGGUCCACUCACUUCAGAUGAGAUCAAGCGCUGAACUCAUUUAUUUAUACAAAAAAUUCAGCUUUCGCACUUCCUCAAGGAAUACAAUGCGCUCAGUUUAAAUAAGCCUCUUCCAACAGAAGCAACCUUCGUUCUUUGUGCCCAUUAUUGGAUGCCAAGGGACUCUUAAACAUCGGCGUUCGUCUUCAGAACUCAGACUUGGAAUAUGAAGCAAAGCAUCCGUUAUUGUAGCCUAAACGCUACUCAGUCACCGCAGAAAUAAUUACACAUUAUCAUCUAAAAUUUCUUCAUGCCGGUUUGCAAUUUUUCCUAGCAACGCUCCGUAAGCGAUACUGGCCUUUUGGAGGCCUCAAGUCUGUAUCGAAUAUCAUCAACAAAUGCGUGCGCUGCUUUCGCAUGCGACCUAAACUUCUGGACCAAAUCAUGGCCCUAUUACAAAGUGAGUGUGUGCAUCAAAUUUUGCGGUCCAUUUUAAAUCAGAAGUCAGGAAUCGCUCGCCAACGAAAUGCGACAUCUCAAUAUGAUUUGCAACGGUCGGCAGCAACGUGCUGCUGAAGGAGGACAAUGCACCAGGUGGCCACCUGGUCAAGUCGACAGCGCAAUUUCUGUGGAUGACGGCAUCGGAGAGUAACAGUCAUUCGUGCAGAAAAUGGUCUGGUCAAAAGAGCCAUUUCCAAAAUCGCCAUCCUGCCAAUCGAGCCGACCUCGGUUGAAAGUUUGAAUCCUUCAACGGGGGAGCAAUUUCGCAGCAAACCUAAAAUAUAUUAUUACUUCCAAAAAUCCCGACAUUGAAGUCACAUAGAAUAAUUUUAAGGUAACACUAUUGUUCCAAUAGUAGUUAUCGAUAUAAUUUUUAUUGGUACGGAAGUAAAGUACAUCAAUACUGCAGUCUGAAGGCUCUUAUUUUUUUGAUUUAAAUUUGAAAUUCAAGGGCCGAACUGGGGUGCAAAAUACUAGCUCCUCAAAAUAAACUCAGAAAAUUAUCAUAGAACUCCUUAGGUGUGCGGUUCAACAGAUCUGGCAGCUUUUGGAUGCAAUCGCUAGACUUUGGUACUUUCACCAAACAUGGAAGAAGCCAAUUAUAUUGAUGAUUACUAAGCCAGGAUAAGACAAAACGCAGCCAUCGUUGUACAGACCAACAGACCUGCUUAUUUGUUUUUUCCAUGAUAUUUGAAAAAGUUCUCCUGCUGCGCAUCUGCCCAUACAUCCAAACUAGCAACAUUGUACCAUACCAUAAUACCAAUUCGGUUUUCGAGAAAAGGACUGAUUAAGCAGGUCAACCGCAUCACGUCAGAGAUUCAUACGGCAUUUGACGGAAAUAUUGUACGGCACGAUUCCUGGAAUUCCUAGACUGCCUUAUGUACAAAAUAACAAAGCUGCUUUCACAAAACACAAAUCUCUAAAAUAGUCUUUGCGAUGAGAGGCAACCUCAAAUGGUCGCAUAAUAAAAGCUGGAGUGCCCCAAGGCAGCGUUCUCGGACCUCCAUGUCUUGUACACCGAGGAUAUACCUACAAGUAACCAGGUAACAACCUCAACGUUUGUUGAUGACACCGCGAUUCUUAGUCGCUCCAGAUGCCCAGUAAAGGCAACUGCCCAAUUAGCCUGCCAUCUAUUUACUGUGGAGAGAUGGUUUUAGUUGAGUCUCAACAAACAAAGCUGUUCUCUUUUGGUUUUAAGCAAUGCACGCGUCUCACAAGGUAACGAUGUAGUUUACCUGGCCGUCCAUUUAGACAGACAGCUCACCUGGCGCAAGCACAUAGAAGCCAAGAAGAAGUAUUUUACAAUAAAAGAAAGUAAUCUCCACUGGCUAAUAAGCGUUCGCUCUUCCCUAAUCUUGGACUAUAAUGUCCUCAUGUACAACUCCGUGCUGAAAUUUAUCUGGACCUAUGGCUCCGACCAACGUCGACAUUACCCAGCAAGCACACUUGUGAAUCCUAAGAACCAUUACUCUGGCAUGGUAUCUCCGUAAGGAGAAUAUUAAACUCGUUAAAAAGGGAAAACCAAAAAGCAAAGCUCGCUUCCUAUACAAAAAGCUGAAAAUGCCGUUCCACCUUGAUAAACCGUAUGGGUACGGAUUACCAGAGUAGCUUUCCGGAUUGUUGGUAGGUAGUUUAGGAAAAUUUGGCAAAGAGAUUGGCCAUUGCGUGAUCAUUAUUUGAAGAUAGCAAGGAUGGGUGUGCGGACGGUCUAGACUUACUGUUUACGAAGCUGUAUAACUGUUUAGAGUCUUGAGAAAAACGUAUAAAAUACAUUUGUAACAGUGCGAUAUCACAGGAGUCCGGAUACAAAAUGUGUUUGCUCCAGCUCUUGUAGUCUUAUAGUAAAUCAUUACCAGGAUUAAUCACUCAAAACUAGGUACUCUCGAGGUACACUUGUUUUGAAAUCUUACCAUUCGAGACAUGGUGUGCCGACAUUAGACACAUUUAUUUCUCAUUCAAUAAUUCAAAGGCGAUUGGGAAAGAGAAAUGUGGAGACUUUGAAUGGGAUGCGACUAUAAAGGAAUUCAAAAUAUUUUGAUGAAGAAACUUCCUUUUAACACAUUAGAAGAGAAGGAACUAAGUUCGUGAGGAUAGGAAAACUGAUCUGACGAUGCGAUCGUUAUUCUUUUUUAAAAGGCAGCAACGAGGGGCCGCGGGUAAAUUUAACCGUUCGACUAAGAAGCACCGUUCAAGAGACUGGCAGCUGUAAUACUUGGAACCGAUACAAGACACCCGAUACUCAACCUCUACUAUUAUGCUAAUAUAAAAUAUAUUUUGUUCUUACCGAAAAUAUUUCCGGUGUUAGGAAUAUAAAAUAGAGAAUUGGUUUUAUACUUUUUUUAAAUCACACGUUUGUAACGAUUUUUCGGUAAUUUUGAUCAAACGUGAAAAAAAAUUAAAUUAGAAUAGAACAAAUUAAUGGGAUAAGGAAAGAUCAUGUUAUUCUUAAACAAGCCUCAGGAUUGGUUGCAAAAAAAAUUUUAGUUCAAACUAUACACCGCCUUAUAAAGGAGAUGGGCUUAAUGCCAAGGACACUUGCGAAAAAGUCACUUCUAAAUAGUCAAAUUAAGAAAGCUCGCUUAAAUUGGUCUAAAGAAAAAUCAAAUUGUGUUGAAUCUGAGUGGUCACGAAACAUUUUGUUGGAUGAGACUGAUGGUAAAAAUAUGGGGAUGCAUAUCUAAAUAUACAACUGAAUCACUAAUAAUGAUUAAAGGUAUGGUACAUACAAAAAAGUGGCCAGUUGUUGUGCCCAGUAUGAAAUCAAUUGCUGAGAGGGAAAAAGAUUCCAUCUGGUCUUGGCAGCUGAACAGCUCUGGCUUGAAGAAUGUAGGGACACAGCAGCUACGCAACAUGACACCCGCUUCAGCAGAUUGAUGCGGUGGCGACUGCGCAGUCCUACGCUUGUAUUAAUACCUGAAACCACGAAUUUCCUGCUGUGGGCAUGCUAAGAGCCACUCAGGAGUAUUUAUACCUUGCCGUGCCUUGCUUGACUCUGGUUUUCAGCUCAACUUUAUCAGUGCUCGUCUUGCUAAGCAACUCCAACUCAAAAUUCAUCAUGUAGCCGUCUCCAUAUCUGGUAUAGACGAAGCAACCCUAUUUUCUAACAUGUCCGCUGACAUUUCAGCACAGUCACGUGACAGAUUCAGCACAAAAUUUUUUGCACAUCAUUCGUACGAUGACGGAUUCAACCUUACUUUGGAUAAGAUAUCUCAGAAUAGAAUAUCCCCAAAAACAUCGCGCUGGCGGAUCCAACGUUUUUCAAAUCCUAAAGAAUAGAUUUGUUACUUGCCGGACAAUUUUUCGAUCUCAUUUGCAUCGGCCAAAUUCGAAUAGCGGAUAACCUACCAAAGCUCUAAAAGAUCAAGCUCGGAUCAAGCUCAAAAUGAAAAGAUAAGGAAGUACAGUAGCGUAUGGAACUAAAACUGCUUCGUUUCUAGCAAUUCGAGCAAUGAAACAGCUAACCUACGAUGAAGAGCUUACCUUUCUAUUAGCUGCACAUAGAUUUGUCGAGCAUUCUACAUAGACGAUUUAAUCUGAGGAGGGGACUCUAUCGAAGAAGGCAUUCGAAUCCGCCAGCAAGUAAAACUGCUGCUGAUAUAGGAAAACUUUCCAAUCAGGAAAUGAUGCUCGAACGAUCCUGAUGCCUUGAAAGGAGAAAGAUAAUCCGAUUGUGAGAAGGUUUGGCAUAAUGCCCUAGUUCUGAUUGGCUGCUCUUCAAUUUUUUCGGAAGUACCAGUCACAAGGCUCAGCGUAUUAUCGAUGAAAGCUAGAUUCUACGAUCCUCUAGGAUUGAUCGCGCCCAUCAUUACCAGGUUGAAGGGAAUAUCGGAAAUCCUGGAGCGCACGAAGAGCAUGACCUGGCAUUAUCUGGCCUCCCAGCUGAAGCCUACGUACAUUUUAUCGCGUGGAAGCACUCCUCUGGAACUUUUGGACACACAGCUGUGGCACAAUAGACUCUCAUUCAUACAGUCCAAUAGCUCGAAUCGAAGGUCCACUCACUUCAGAUGAGAUCAAGCGCUGAACUCAUUUAUUUAUACAAAAAAUUCAGCUUUCGCACUUCCUCAAGGAAUACAAUGCGCUCAGUUUAAAUAAGCCUCUUCCAACAGAAGCAACCUUCGUUCUUUGUGCCCAUUAUUGGAUGCCAAGGGACUCUUAAACAUCGGCGUUCGUCUUCAGAACUCAGACUUGGAAUAUGAAGCAAAGCAUCCGUUAUUGUAGCCUAAACGCUACUCAGUCACCGCAGAAAUAAUUACACAUUAUCAUCUAAAAUUUCUUCAUGCCGGUUUGCAAUUUUUCCUAGCAACGCUCCGUAAGCGAUACUGGCCUUUUGGAGGCCUCAAGUCUGUAUCGAAUAUCAUCAACAAAUGCGUGCGCUGCUUUCGCAUGCGACCUAAACUUCUGGACCAAAUCAUGGCCCUAUUACAAAGUGAGUGUGUGCAUCAAAUUUUGCGGUCCAUUUUAAAUCAGAAGUCAGGAAUCGCUCGCCAACGAAAUGCGACAUCUCAAUAUGAUUUGCAACGGUCGGCAGCAACGUGCUGCUGAAGGAGGACAAUGCACCAGGUGGCCACCUGGUCAAGUCGACAGCGCAAUUUAUGUGGAUGACGGCAUCGGAGAGUAACAGUCAUUCGUGCAGAAAAUGGUCUGGUCAAAAGAGCCAUUUCCAAAAUCGCCAUCCUGCCAAUCGAGCCGACCUCGGUUGAAAGUUUGAAUCCUUCAACGGGGGAGCAAUUUCGCAGCAAACCUAAAAUAUAUUAUUACUUCCAAAAAUCCCGACAUUGAAGUCACAUAGAAUAAUUUUAAGGUAACACUAUUGUUCCAAUAGUAGUUCUCGAUAUAAUUUUUAUUGGUACGGAAGUAAAGCACAUCAAUACUGCAGUCUGAAGGCUCUUAUUUUUUUGAUUUAAAUUUGAAAUUCAAGGGCCGAACUGGGGUGCAAAAUACUAGCUCCUCAAAAUAAACUCAGAAAAUUAUCAUAGAACUCCUUAGGUGUGCGGUUCAACAGAUCUGGCAGCUUUUGGAUGCAAUCGCUAGACUUUGGUACUUUCACCAAACAUGGAAGAAGCCAAUUAUAUUGAUGAUUACUAAGCCAGGAUAAGACAAAACGCAGCCAUCGUUGUACAGAGCAACAGACCUGCUUAUUUGUUUUUUCCAUGAUAUUUGAAAAAGUUCUCCUGCUGCGCAUCUGCCCAUACAUCCAAACUAGCAACAUUGUACCAUACCAUAAUACCAAUUCGGUUUUCGAGAAAAGGACUGAUUAAGCAGGUCAACCGCAUCACGUCAGAGAUUCAUACGGCAUUUGACGGAAAUAUUGUACGGCACGAUUCCUGGAAUUCCUAGACUGCCUUAUGUACAAAAUAACAAAGCUGCUUUCACAAAACACAAAUCUCUAAAAUAGUCUUUGCGAUGAGAGGCAACCUCAAAUGGUCGCAUAAUAAAAGCUGGAGUGCCCCAAGGCAGCGUUCUCGGACCUCCAUGUCUUGUACACCGAGGAUAUACCUACAAGUAACCAGGUAACAACCUCAACGUUUGUUGAUGACACCGCGAUUCUUAGUCGCUCCAGAUGCCCAGUAAAGGCAACUGCCCAAUUAGCCUGCCAUCUAUUUACUGUGGAGAGAUGGUUUUAGUUGAGUCUCAACAAACAAAGCUGUUCUCUUUUGGUUUUAAGCAAUGCACGCGUCUCACAAGGUAACGAUGUAGUUUACCUGGCCGUCCAUUUAGACAGACAGCUCACCUGGCGCAAGCACAUAGAAGCCAAGAAGAAGUAUUUUACAAUAAAAGAAAGUAAUCUCCACUGGCUAAUAAGCGUUCGCUCUUCCCUAAUCUUGGACUAUAAUGUCCUCAUGUACAACUCCGUGCUGAAAUUUAUCUGGACCUAUGGCUCCGACCAACGUCGACAUUACCCAGCAAGCACACUUGUGAAUCCUAAGAACCAUUACUCUGGCAUGGUAUCUCCGUAAGGAGAAUAUUAAACUCGUUAAAAAGGGAAAACCAAAAAGCAAAGCUCGCUUCCUAUACAAAAAGCUGAAGAUGCCGUUCCACCUUGAUAAACCGUAUGGGUACGGAUUACCAGAGUAGCUUUCCGGAUUGUUGGUAGGUAGUUUAGGAAAAUUUGGCAAAGAGAUUGGCCAUUGCGUGAUCAUUAUUUGAAGAUAGCAAGGAUGGGUGUGCGGACGGUCUAGACUUACUGUUUACGAAGCUGUAUAACUGUUUAGAGUCUUGAGAAAAACGUAUAAAAUACAUUUGUAACAGUGCGAUAUCACAGGAGUCCGGAUACAAAAUGUGUUUGCUCCAGCUCUUGUAGUCUUAUAGUAAAUCAUUACCAGGAUUAAUCACUCAAAACUAGGUACUCUCGAGGUACACUUGUUUUGAAAUCUUACCAUUCGAGACAUGGUGUGCCGACAUUAGACACAUUUAUUUCUCAUUCAAUAAUUCAGAGGCGAUUGGGAAAGAGAAAUGUGGAGACUUUGAAUGGGAUGCGACUAUAAAGGAAUUCAAAAUAUUUUGAUAAAGAAACUUCCUUUUAACACAUUAGAAGAGAAGGAACUAAGUUCGUGAGGAUAGGAAAACUGAUCUGACGAUGCGAUCGUUAUGCUUUUUUAAAAGGCAGCAACGAGGGGCCGCGGGUAAAUUUAACCGUUCGACUAAGAAGCACCGUUCAAGAGACUGGCAGCUGUAAUACUUGGAACCGAUACAAGACAUCUAGUUCCAUUGAAUGAAAGCAUAGAGCGGUGGAAUGCAGUCGCUUCCAAUUUGGAUAUUGAUAGAAUAAAGGCCCAAAAAGAUCUAGGAACUACACCGACUCCGAUAUUUCAUGAAUUGUUUACUUCUGCGGCAUGGAGAUUCCCCAAAUGUUAUCCGAUUCGUGUAAUUUUUUUAGUGUCAAUAAAUCAAUUCCUGACAAAUUAAAUACUACAUUUUUUGAUGUCAUGUUCAUACAUUUAAACGAAAAAUUUCCAAAUAACUCCUUGUUCAACCAUCAUGUAGUAAUUUGAGCAAACGGAGGAAAAAAAUGAAUUAAAAUUAAAAAAAAAAACGAUUUCUUUAACAUAAACAAAAUUGUAACCAAUAGGUUAUUUUAUUUUCUAUAAGGCCCUAGACAUUCUCUAUCGGAUUGAAGUCGGGGCUGUUAGAUGGCCAAUCUAAGGCCCCAUUCCGGCUUCAAAAUUGUAAUCUGUCGUAGAAAAAUAAUCGAAACUAGUUAGAAUGUAUUUUCAAUAAUACCAAAACGUCAUAGAAUCACUGACAGAGUGAUGAUGACAAGGUACAGAAUAUUCCUGAAAGAUGGAAUCUUUUUCCCUCUCAGCAAUUGAUUUCAUACUGGGCACAACAACUGGCCACUUUUUUGUAUGUACCAUACCUUUAAUCAUUAUUAGUGAUUCAGUUGUAUAUUUAGAUAUGCAUCCCCAUAUUUUUACCAUCAGUCUCAUCCAACAAAAUGUUUCGUGACCACUCAGAUUCAACACAAUUUUAUUUUUCUUUAGACCAAUUUAAGCGAGCUUUCUUAAUUUGACUAUUUAGAAGUGACUUUUUCGCAAGUGUCCUUUCGCAAGCCCAUCUCCUUUAUAAGGCGGUGUAUAGUUCGAACUAAAAUUUUUUUUGCAACCAAUCCUGAGGCUUGUUUAAGAAUAACAUGAUCUUUCCUUAUCCCAUUAAUUUGUUCUAUUCUAAUUUAAUUUUUUUUCACGUUUGAUCAAAAUUACCGAAAAAUCGUUACAAACGUGUGAUUUAAAAAAAGUAUAAAACCAAUUCUCUAUUUUAUAUUCCUAACACCGGAAAUAUGUUCGGUAAGAACAAAAUAUAUUUUAUAUUAGCAUAAUAGUAGAGGUUGAGUAUCGGGUGUCUUGGGUGAUCUACUGGCAUUGGUGUGAUUUUAAAUACGAAGAGGUUUAUUUUCUUUCUGUAGAAAUAUAAAAUGGCAUGUUACUUUAAAAUCCGAUAGCUCUCUUUGAAGUUAUUAUAAACCCCAAUAUUUUUUUUAAGUUUAAAAGUACCAUCUGUAGAUGUUAAAUAGAAUUAUAAAAUAAUUAUAUAUACAGUACAUCUUCAUAAAGCCUAUAUUAACGUACGAAAAUGAGUAGCCCAACACUAGUUGUUAUCUCUAUUCUACGUUUUUGGU